rnacentral:rRNA from 1 species
AUUGAACGCUGGCGGCGUGCUUAACACAUGCAAGUCGUGCGAGAAAGGGGACUUCGGUCCCUGAGUAGAGCGGCGCACGGGUGAGUAACGCGUGGAUAAUCUCCCUCAUUGUUUGGGAUAACGGCGGGAAACUGCCGCUAAUACCGGAUACGCUCCAAUUUCGGUUGGGGGAAAGGCGGCCUCUGCUUGCAAGCUGUCGCAAUGAGAUGAGUCCGCGUCCCAUUAGCUUGUUGGUGGGGUAAUGGCCCACCAAGGCAACGAUGGGUAGCUGGUCUGAGAGGAUGAUCAGCCACACUGGAACUGAAACACGGUCCAGACUCCUACGGGAGGCAGCAGUGGGGAAUAUUGCGCAAUGGGGGAAACCCUGACGCAGCGACGCCGUGUGAGGGAAGAAGGCUUUCGGGUCGUAAACCUCUGUCAGGAAGGAAGAACCUCUCAAGGCUGAACAAGCCUUGGGACUGACGGUACUUCCAGAGGAAGCACCGGCUAACUCCGUG